rnacentral:misc_RNA from 1 species
CUGCGGAAGGAUCAUUACCAAAACUAGCUUUGGCUCUGCCACUGCCAGUACCCUUGUCUAUGCGUACCGUAUGUUGUUCCCUCGGUGGAGUCUCUCUGCCGCUGGGCAUCUUAAUAAACUCUUAUUGCCGUUAGAAGCAGUACACUUGUCUGAUUAUGGACUUUUAAAGACUAUCACAACUUUCAACAACGGAUCUCUUGGUUCUGGCAUCGAUGAAGAACGCAGC